rnacentral:misc_RNA from 1 species
UUAAUUAUUUGCUUGUGCCACUCAGAAGAAACGUCGUUAAAAUAGAGUUAGGUAUCCUCCGGCGGGCGCCACGUCCCCUGGUAGGGGGGCGGGGCCGGGAGGGCGUCCCCGGGGGGACCCCCUGCCCGCCGAAGCAACAGUUAGGUAUGUUCACAAAGGGUUGUAGAGCGGUAACUCGAUAAUGAUCCCUCCGCUGGUUCACCAACGGAGA